CAUGGGAACUGGAGCCCCAUGGCAGGACAAUUGCCGACAUAUGCUGACGAAGAGAUGCGGGCAAACGAUUUGAGACUGGGGAGAGUUCAUCAUUCAUCGUUUUGGAAUGGCAGGUCCUGGAAGAUGUAGCAAUUGAGUGCACAAAUUUGUCAAUCAAUUCCCUAGUUAAUUAGCAGCAUUGAAGCACGAUUAAAAGAAAUACUGUUUGUAUUCAAAAUAAUUGUACUAGACUGGUGUACAUUUUGUGUAUAUGGCUACCGUUAUUUUGAUUGCUCAAAAGAAUAGCUUGCAACCCUCUUGGAAAUGGUAGCUGAGAAGAAACCAGUUCCAAUCCUUUGAAGCAUUCUAAUUCCAGUGGGUUUCCUAGCUAAAGCUCUUGAUAAAGGGACAGAUGCGAUCAAAGACAGGGACUAGCAUAACUAUUGUCAGGUUUGUGAAGGAUAGAAGCGUAGCAGUUAGUAUUAUGAAGCCUGAUGCAAUUGUUCUAUCCUUACUAGCUCCUUGCAUGGUGAAAAAUGUUUAGUGUGCAUCUACAAUGGCAUAUAAUAGAUUUGUAGCCUUAUAGGAAUAAGCCUUGGCACUGCCUUCGCUUCUUGAUCUUCAUCAAUACUGCAUACCCCGUCUUCUCCAAAGCAAAUAUCCAGCGCAAGCAAGGCUUUGUUGAUGAACCUGUAACAUUGGAGGAUCCAAAUUUCCAGGUCAAGGAACUUCUUUAUCUAGACAACAUUAAAGUUCCA